CAUUCAAAAGACAUUUAAUAGCGAAUCUAAUUUUAAGAAAAUACUUUUUAAAACUCUAUAAAUUCUAUAAAAAAAAUAUAUUAGGAGAGAACAAGCUUUAGGCAUUAUAAAGUUAUUAACCAUAUUAUAUUUUUUUACCUACAAAGAGGAUAAAAUAUGACUAAAAUUCUCAUGUUGUUUUAUGCUAUGAUUGUAUUUCAUUCCAUAUUUCUUGUUGCAUCAUAUACAGAUGAAUGUUCUACUGAUGCUGAUUGUGAAUACAUUCUAUGCUUGUUUCCUAUAAUCAAAAGGUGCAUUCACAAUCAUUGUAAAUGUGUGCCAAUGGGUUCCAUUGAACCUAUGAGUACCAUACCCAACGGAGUACACAAAUUUCAUAUUAUAAAUAAUUAGUUGUUGGAGUAACAAAAGAUAUACACAAUAUACCUUUUGUAAGAAUAUUUCACGAGCUGUCUUUUAUUUAUUUAUUGUUGAUACCCAAUAAAUUUGUUUUUUUACUUUCACAAACCUUAUGACUUUGUACUCUAAGAUGAUGAUAAUGAAAUAAAAUAAGGCAGCAAAUAAUAUUAUUACAUUUU